AUGGCGAUGAGGUUCCUAUCAGCCGUGGAUCUGCCUUGUCAUCCAUGUAUGGCCAUGGUUAUCCUCCCCCUCCUCCUCCUGCUCCUCGUGCCUCUCGCCGCUGCCGAAACUUGGCCAUUUUGCGGCGAGAGCGGCAACUACAAAUCAAAUAGCACCUAUGAAGCCAACCUCAGGCACCUCUCAUCCACCCUCCCAAAGAAGGCAGCAUCCAGCACCACCCUCUUCGCCACCGACACAGUCGGCAAUGUUCCAAACACCAUCUUUGCCCUUGCUCUCUGCCGCGGGGACUCCAAUGCCUCUGCCUGCGAGGGAUGCUUGGUGACCGCCUUCCAGGACGGGCAGGAACACUGCACGAGCAAUAAGGACGCCACCGUGUACUACAAUAGCAAUCCCUGCAUGCUCAGGUUCUCCAACCAGAAUUUUCUCGCCACCAACGUCAAUGACAAUAUACUCGUCAUUGUGAGCCUCGACAUGUUCAUAAACAUCUCGACAAGAGCUGACUCCUUCAGGUUCUUGUUGUUUACACUUCUGAACAACACAGCUCAAUCGGCUGCGAACAGCUCGAGGAGGUUCAUCACCUCGCGCUUGGAUGUCAGCUCCCUCCCGACGCUCUACUGCCUUAUGCAGUGCACGCCCGACCUGACCGCUGACGACUGUGCGGCCUGUUUCCAGCCUUACUCCCAGAUAACACUCAAGUACAUGGAUGGUAGGAAAGGUGGUCGACUUCUGGGGACACGGUGUAGCAUGAGGUACGAGAUAUACCCGUUCUUUCAAGGGGACCCCAUGCUGAGCUUGGUAUCUGAACUUCCGCCGAUGAACAAUACCAUGCCGCCAGUUACAUUGUACCCACCCCCGCAGUCGCAACCGCAGUCACCGGAUGCGGCACCACCACCUCCGAAGGCGCAAGCGACCACCCAAGAACUUCAUGGACGCAACUCACACCGGAGGGCGCUUUGGAUUAUUGCUGUGGUAGCUCCAUUACUGUCAAUAUUUCUGUGUGUUAUUUUUUUCAUUAUAUGGAUGAGAAGACAAAGAAAAGGAACGGAAAUCAUACAUGAUCAAGCUGCCACAAAUAGGCCGGAAGAAGACGCAUUGGUUUGGAGAUUGGAAGAAAAGAGUUCAGAGUUCACUCUCUUUGACUUCUCUGAGAUCUUGCAAGCUACACACAACUUCUCGAAAGAAAACCGACUUGGGCAAGGUGGUUUUGGCCCUGUCUACAAGGGCCAAUUACCAGAUGGAAUAGAAAUUGCAGUUAAAAGGCUUGCCUCACAUUCAAGACAGGGUUUCACAGAAUUCAAAAAUGAAGUUGAACUUAUUGCAAAACUACAACACAGUAAUCUGGUCAAGCUCAUGGGUUGCUGCAUUCAGGGAGAGGAAAAACUUUUGGUUUACGAAUAUUUGCCAAAUAAGAGCUUGGACUUCUUUAUCUUUGAUGUUAGCAGAACAACUUUGGUUGAUUGGAAUAAAAGAUGUGUGAUAAUCGAAGGGAUAGCCCAAGGUCUACUGUAUCUCCACAAACACUCUCGGUUGCGCAUCAUACACAGAGACCUUAAGGCCAGCAACAUUCUCUUGGACCAGGACAUGAAUCCUAAAAUUUCUGAUUUUGGGCUAGCUAAAAUUUUCAGCUCCAAUGAUACUCAAGGAAGCACAAAGAGGGUGGUGGGAACAUAUGGCUAUAUGGCUCCGGAGUAUGCAUCUGAAGGCAUUUACUCGAUCAAAUCUGAUGUGUUCAGCUUUGGUGCCUUACUUCUCGAGAUCCUUAGCGGACAAAGGAAUUCUGGUUUCCAUCAGCAUGAAGACUUUCUUAACCUCCUUGGAUAUUCAUGGCAGCUCUGGGAAGGAGGAAGAUUUCUUGAGCUUCUAGAAGCAUCAAUUGCUAACGAGAUCCAUGCAGCGGAGGCUAGGAGGUACAUUAACAUUGCACUAAUGUGCGUACAAGAGCAUGCGGAUGAUCGACCGACCAUGUCAAAUGUUGUUGCGAUGUUAAACAGCGAGGGUGUUAUUCUUCGAGAGCCUAAGCAUCCGGCAUACUUCAACCUAAGGGUAUCUAAGGAAGAUGAAUCGGGUAGUGUUCUGUACAGUCAUAAUGAUGUAACUAUCUGCAGUAAUAAUGACGUAACCAUCACUGAGGAGCCAGAUGGCAGAUAG
rnacentral:rRNA from 1 species